UACGUAGGGUCCGAGCGUUGUCCGGAAUUACUGGGCGUAAAGAGCUCGUAGGCGGUUUGUCGCGUCUGCCGUGAAAGUCCGGGGCUCAACUCCGGAUCUGCGGUGGGUACGGGCAGACUAGAGUGAUGUAGGGGAGACUGGAAUUCCUGGUGUAGCGGUGAAAUGCGCAGAUAUCAGGAGGAACACCGGUGGCGAAGGCGGGUCUCUGGGCCGAUACUGACGCUGAGGAGCGAAAGCGUGGGGAGCGAACAGG
rnacentral:rRNA from 1 species